rnacentral:rRNA from 1 species
GAUGAACGCUGGCGGCGUGCCUAAUACAUGCAGGUCGAGCGAACAGACGAGGAGCUUGCUCCUCUGACGUUAGCGGCGGACGGGUGAGUAACACGUGGAUAACCUACCUAUAAGACUGGGAUAACUUCGGGAAACCGGAGCUAAUACCGGAUAAUAUAUUGAACCGCAUGGUUCAAUAGUGAAAGACGGUUUUGCUGUCACUUAUAGAUGGAUCCGCGCCGCAUUAGCUAGUUGGUAAGGUAACGGCCUACCAAGGCAACGAUGCGUAGCCGACCUGAGAGGGUGAUCGGCCACACUGGAACUGAGACACGGUCCAGACUCCUACGGGAGGCAGCAGUAGGGAAUCUUCCGCAAUGGGCGAAAGCUUGACGGAGCAACGCCGCGUGAGUGAUGAAGGUCUUCGGAUCGUAAAACUCUGUUAUUAGGGAAGAACAAAUGUGUAAGUAACUAUGCACGUCUUGACGGUACCUAAUCAGAAAGCCACGGCUAACUACGUG